UUGUAACCUUAACUACAAACGUUUCUGCAG
rnacentral:piRNA from 1 species